AAGAAGAUUCAUAUUUUUUAACCAUUCAAUAAUUUAUUUCUUUAGAUCAUUUUUAUAAACAAAAUAUUAAUCAAAAUUUCAAUGAAAAUGUAAUUUAGAUUAUGAUUUGGGCUGUGAUGUUUUAAAUAUGGGUUGGGCCCAAAAAAAAAACGUUUUUAUCAAAACAAACUCAUUAGGUAUAUGUUAAUUUUUUUUCCGGGAACAAACGAACAGUUUUCUUUGUCACCGACAAAAAUUGAUCAAAAAAUAUUUUUCGAUCAAAACAAACAUAAGAUCCAGACGACAUGUUCUUCUGAUUCCAAAUCAAACCUAAGAAUAUGAGUGCAGAUCGUAAGAGAAAAACGAACGGGAGACGCGUCAAGCUAAGAAACAUUUCAUAUAAGAGUAGUUUAUAAAAAUUCAUGUCUUAACACACGGGCUUCAUAGGAGAAUACGAACAGAGAAGAUGGAAGAGGAUUUAAGAUUAUCGGAGUGUACAUGGUAAGUAUCUUUUGUUAAUUAUUCAAUUAAUUAGAGAAUUUGGUAACUGUAUAUUAAUUUGGUGAUGAUGUUUCUUGUCAAAUUUCAUUUCAAUGUUUGCAAAUUGACCUCUUGGCGGGCCUUGAAGAAUCUGCCAUUGUUCAUUCAUGAGCAAUAUAAAGGUGUUUCUCAGUUUUGUUAAUUAUUUAUUUGGUUUGUAAGUGUGUAUAUUUAUUGGAAUUGGCAUAACAGCUUAUGUAUAAUUCCGUCAAACAUAGAAGAAGUUUAUUGGACCUAUAAUGGAGUUGAUAGAUCGGGUAGUUCUAUCAAAGGAGUCUGGUGAGGUUGCUUCUACAGAGAACCUUUUCUUUGGCAAGGCAGUGGAGAAGGAAGAAAGUGAUUUUCGUGAUCAGAGCCCAAAUGUUGGUGAAAGAACGAUCAGAAGCUAUGAAGAAAGAAGUUUCUCUCCCACGUUCAGCAAGUGAAUCCAGACAACAACUCACGGAUCACUUGGAAUGGAAGUUGCAAGUCCGAGAAAAGGGAUGUUGUUAUAUAGACAGCAUUGUUUUACUAACGGCAUAAACAGAUCAUGGUAACUAAUUACGAAGGCAGCGGACGGAAAUUAUGAGGCAAGGUAAUCUCAAGCAAAAAGAUAUGUUACUUGGAGAAAAAUAUAACGUGGAAAGAAAGGUAGUUAGAGUGGAACUGGUGACAAUGGAAUUCGCUGUGAUGGACAUCUUGUAUAGAUGCCUAGUUGGUCUGUAUAUCCCGGUUGCUGGGUAAACCAAGAAAUUCUCGAGGAACUUCCAUUGAUCAACCUGUAAGUUCUUAACACGGCCAAGGAAGGCACUCUUACAGGUACAAUGUAUCUCAGAUCCCUACAAUAACAAUUAGAACUACAUUGAUUAGUCUUUGGCAACAAAAAAUUCUAGAAAACAAAUAGAUUCAAACAAAAAAACAUACCAUCCUAUCUUCAAGUAUGAACUCGAAAGUGUCUUCUCCAGAAUAGUUUGAAUGUUGUGUCCACGAAUGAAGAACUUUCACUUCAACCUUCCAAGUAGUUUUAUAUGGUUUGAGAUUGUUCAACAUAGUUA